UACGUAGGGGGCAAGCGUUGUCCGGAUUUAUUGGGCGUAAAGAGCGUUGUAGGCGGCUUCACAGGUCCGCUGUGAAAACUCGAGGCUCAACCUCGAGCUGUCGGUGGAAACCGUGUGGCUAGAGUCCGGGAAGAGGAGAGUGGAAUUCCCGGUGUAGCGGUGAAAUGCGCAGAUAUCGGGAGGAACACCUGUGGCGAAAGCGGCUCACUGGACCACAACUGACGCUGAGGCGCGAAAGCUAGGGGAGCAAACAGG
rnacentral:rRNA from 1 species